GAAAACAAGCGACUUUGAUUGGCUGGAGACAGGAAGUUAUGUUUUGAAAACAAAGGGGGUUUUCAUCAACUGACUUUGAGCUUUAAGGUAUAAUUGAGUAACAUUAAGACUUAUAAUUCUAGUUUAAAAUGUCUUGAAUAACUUUCAGCAUGAAGUAUUGUGUGGUGAAAACAAUGUGUAUGUACUACAAUGUGUAAAUCAACAAUAAGUUUGUUGCAAAGGAGAUUCAAAGUGGAUGGUUAAAGUGAUAUGGUCUCAUAAUUCAUCAACUGCCUGUUAUCUUGGAAUACUGAAGAACAGUUGUUUUAGGUUAAACUCCCAAGGUGAAAUUUACAUUGAUUGGAAGAUUCUUUGGAUAGAAUAUUCCUGCCAAAAGACAGCAGAAGGGGGACUAACUGAUGUAUGGAUUUUGACACCAGAUUUUACCCUGCACGAGCAGCCCAACUUGAGUAGAUCAGGAGUGGGAAAACCGAGCCCUGUCCUUGACCAAGGAAAGUUGGAUUUGUUGAGAGGACCUGAUCUCAAAUGAGAUCAUGCACAAGACGCACCUCGCAAAGGCCAUGACAGUAUAGUUUUCAGACCUGAUCAGCUGGUGACUGCUCUAUGAAGUGCUGUUCAACCUCCCCUAAGGGGGAGAUUCGAGAGGGUCUCCUGAUUGCUGAACACUACGCCAUGGUUGUUGUCAUCUCCAAAAAGUUUGCCCUGCCCAUAUCAACAGUGGAAGAGAACAUGAGAUGGGCCUUGAGGAGGCUUCGUGUCAUGUACUGCGGGGAGAAUAUAUAAACUGUUUAGUGCUGAGCAAUAUGUUCCUUUGUUCAUAGGUGUAAAUAUGUGUAAAGGGCUAUUCCAGGAAAAGAUAGGAUGAAGGAUUCCUUAAUGUUGUUAUUUUAUA